GCACAUGGUCUGUGCCAGGCUUUCUGCUAAACACAAGCCUUCUGUUGUUUUAUAUUCACCAGGACUCUGUGAGGUGGGUACUGGUGCCACUUACAUUCUACAGAUGAAGAAACUGAAGCUCAUAGAAGUCAAGGAACAUAUCACUGGAAAUAUACCUUAGAGAGCCCACUAAGCUUGGCUAUUAUCUGACCUUCAUCCACAACAUAAGGUAUUAGAUCAAAGCCUCCAUGAGCCAGAAGAUUUCUGAAACUCUUGAAAAUGCACACAGGUGGGAACUGGUACUUCUAGGAACAAUGUUGCCCUUGCUUUCCUCCUGAAUGACAUCUUUUACUUCUCAGCAUUCGCUCAAGGGACUCUUUAGGUG
rnacentral:lncRNA from 1 species